ensembl:snRNA U2 U2 spliceosomal RNA
AUCGCUUCUCGGCCUUUUGGCUAAGAUCAAGUGUAGUAUCAAAGACGUGCAAAUCAAGUGGGACGCCCUAGACAGUUGAAAGUGCUAUCAGAGGAAUCAUACUGCUCUUGAAUAUUAAGUGCUGUAAAUGAACUUUUUAUCCAAAUCUCUC